GACGAACCGUGCGAACGUUGUUCGGAUUCACUGGGCUUAAAGGGCGCGUAGGCGGCCGCUCAAGUCGGGGGUGAAAUCUUUCAGCUUAACUGGAAAAUAGCCUCCGAUACUGGGCGGCUCGAGGGAGAUAGGGGUGCGCGGAACUGUGGGUGGAGCGGUGAAAUGCGUUGAUAUCCACAGGAACUCCGGUGGCGAAGGCGGCACGCUGGACCUUUCGUGACGCUGGAGGCGCGAAAGCCAGGGGAGCGAACGGG
rnacentral:rRNA from 1 species